rnacentral:misc_RNA from 1 species
GUAUAGGCACAAGUGCCCAAUGUUACAUUCUGUUACAUACAAUGGGGUAUAUGAAAAACGUAGACCUGGAAAUGCAAAGAAAGCCAGCUGGCGCCGGCAAUCCUCCCGACCGAGUUGCCUCGGAAAGUCAAUCCAAGUCUACAAGAGGUGCACAGGUGGAGAGAUGAGGAUGGUGGGCGUGCACAUGCCCUCGAAAGAGCCAGCAACAACCACACCAAGUUCAUUCAAUAAUGAUCCUUCCGCAGGUUCACCUACGGAAA